rnacentral:tRNA from 1 species
GCUCUUGUAGCUCAGUUGGUUAGAGCACCCGUUUAGUAAGCGGGAGGUCUUGAGUUCGACUUUAAUGAGAGCA